UACGAAGGGGGCUAGCGUUGUUCGGAAUUACUGGGCGUAAAGCGUGCGCAGGCGGUGAUGUAAGACAGAUGUGAAAUCCCCGGGCUCAACCUGGGAACUGCAUUUGUGACUGCAUCGCUAGAGUACGGCAGAGGGGGAUGGAAUUCCGCGUGUAGCAGUGAAAUGCGUAGAUAUCAGGAGGAAUACCGAUGGCGAAGGCAGGUCUCUGGGCUAGAACUGACGCUCAUGCACGAAAAGCGUGGGGGAGCAAACAGG
rnacentral:rRNA from 1 species